rnacentral:miRNA from 1 species
GUUCCUUACAAGCACUUCACG